rnacentral:rRNA from 1 species
GACGAACGCUGGCGGCGUGCUUAACACAUGCAAGUCGAACGGAAAGGCCCUGCUUUUGUGGGGUGCUCGUGUGGCGAACGGGUGAGUAACACGUGUGUAACCUGCCCUUGACUUUGGGAUAACUUCAGGAAACUGGGGCUAAUACCGGAUAGGAUCUCCUGCUGCAUGUUGGUGGUUGGUAAGUUUCGGCGGUUGGGGAUCUACUCGCGGCUUAUGAGCUUGUUUGUGGGGUAGUGGCUUACCAAGGCUUUGACGGGUAGCCGGCAUGAGAGGGUGACCGGCCACAAUGGGACUGCGAUAGGGAGCAGACUGCUACGGGAGGCAGCAGUGGGGAACAUGGCACAAUGGGCGGAAGCGAGAUGCAGAAACGCCGCGUGCGGGAUGACGGCCUUCGGGUUGUAAACCGAUUUCGACUGUGACGAAGAGUGAGUGACGGUAAUGGGUAAAGAAGCACCGGCUAACUACGUG